rnacentral:rRNA from 1 species
UGGAUAGGGGUUCUGAGAGGAAGGUCCCCCACAUUGGAACUGAGACACGGUCCAAACUCCUACGGGAGGCAGCAGUGAGGAAUAUUGGUCAAUGGACGAGAGUCUGAACCAGCCAAGUAGCGUGAAGGAUGAAGGUCCUACGGAUUGUAAACUUCUUUUAUAAGGGAAUAAACCCUCCCACGUGUGGGAGCUUGUAUGUACCUUAUGAAUAAGCAUCGGCUAACUCCGUGCCAGCAGCCGCGGUAAUACGGAGGAUGCGAGCGUUAUCCGGAUUUAUUGGGUUUAAAGGGAGCGCAGACGGGUCGUUAAGUCAGCUGUGAAAGUUUGGGGCUCAACCUUAAAAUUGCAGUUGAUACUGGCGUCCUUGAGUGCGGUUGAGGUGUGCGGAAUUCGUGGUGUAGCGGUGAAAUGCUUAGAUAUCACGAAGAACUCCGAUUGCGAAGGCAGCACACUAAUCCGUAACUGACGUUCAUGUCUCGAAAGUGUGGGUAUCAAACAGGAUUAGAUACCCUGGUAGUCCACACGGUAAACGAUGGAUACUCGCUGUUGGCGAUAUACGGUCAGCGGCUUAGCGAAAGCG